UUGGGAUGAUACAGUAUAAAUGUGGCCCCUUGUUGCAGUAGGUCAGGUGUUGGCACAAAAAAAGAUCACUUCCUGCUCAAUCAGUCAAUGGCCCUGAGUGCUGAGUAUAGGUCAUUAGGACAAAAUUUGCAGCUCGAUCUCCACUGUCGUUUCCAUAUGAGUGAAAAAUUCUUGAGAGGAACGAUAAACAAUAAACAAUCAAUCUGUCUGUUCAAUUUAUUCACUGAUAUAACACAACUGUAUACACUAAAACUUAUUUUAUAGCAGAGGUACAAGAGAGCCAGUAACACAGAUAAAAGAUGCAGUUCCUAAGACAAAGAGAUCCAAAGUCAGCAGCACCUAAGACUAUACUGAUCAUGACUUUGAAUUAUCAGCAUCCAAAACAAUGCAGAUCAAAUACAGGUUUUGUCUGUACAUCUGGCAAUCUUAGGACAAUACUGGAUGGUUUUAACUAAGAACUGAUCCAGCAUGAAGACCAGCCAUGUGCCUCACCUGUCAUGACAUUAUUAAAGUACUUUGUGACAGUGGGAUGAUGGAAUAUUAAAGAAAGGACAAGGCUCUAUAUUACUGCAUCAGAGAUCAAUCCAGGUUUACUUAUAAAUCGAAGAAAAACACUUAAACAGUCAAGCAUCA